rnacentral:rRNA from 1 species
GAAUUUUGGACAAUGGGGGCAACCCUGAUCCAGCCAUGCCGCGUGAGUGAAGAAGGCCUUCGGGUUGUAAAGCUCUUUCGGUGGGAACGAAACGGGCACGGCUAAUACCCGUGUACAACGACGGUACUCCCCGAAGACGCACCGGCUAACUACGUUCCCGCAGCCGCGGUAAUACGUAGGGUGCGAGCGUUAAUCGGAAUUACUGGGCGUAAAGCGUGCGUAGGCGGUUGCACAAGCUUGAUGUGAAAGCCCCGGGCUCAACCUGGGAAUGGCAUUGAGGACUGUGUGGCUUGAGUGCGGCAGAGGGAGGUGGAAUUCCAGGUGUAGCAGUGAAAUGCGUAGAGAUCUGGAGGAACACCGAUGGCGAAGGCAGCCUCCUGGGCCGACACUGACGCUGAGGGCACGAAAGCGUGGGGAGCGAACAGG